GAUGAACGCUGGCGGCGUGCCUAAUACAUGCAAGUCGAGCGAACAGACGAGGAGCUUGCUCCUCUGACGUUAGCGGCGGACGGGUGAGUAACACGUGGAUAACCUACCUAUAAGACUGGGAUAACUUCGGGAAACCGGAGCUAAUACCGGAUAAUAUAUUGAACCGCAUGGUUCAAUAGUGAAAGACGGUUUUGCUGUCACUUAUAGAUUGAUCCGCGCCGCAUUAGCUAGUUGGUAAGGUAACGGCUUACCAAGGCAACGAUGCGUAGCCGACCUGAGAGGGUGAUCGGCCACACUCGAACUGAGACACGGUCCAGACUCCUACGGGAGGCAGCAGUAGGGAAUCUUCCGCAAUGGGCGAAAGCCUGACGGAGCAACGCCGCGUGAUUGAUGAAGGUCUUCGGAUCGUAAAACUCUGUUAUUAGGGAAGAACAAAUGUGUAAGUAAAUAUGCACGUCUUGACGGUACCUAAUCAGAAAGCCACGGCUAACUACGUG
rnacentral:rRNA from 1 species